rnacentral:rRNA from 1 species
AAUAUUGGACAAUGGGCGCAAGCCUGAUCCAGCCAUGCCGCGUGUGUGAAGAAGGUCUUCGGAGUGUAAAGCACCUUUAGUUGGGAGGAAGGGCAUUAAGUUAAUACCUUGCUGUUUUGACGUUACCUACAGAACAAGCACCGUCUAACUUCUGUCCAGAAGCCGCGGUAAUACGAAGGGUGCAAGCGUUAAUCGGAAUUACUGGGCGUAAAGCGCGCGUAGGUGGUUCGUUAAGUUGGAUGUGAAAGCCACGGGCUCAACCUGGGAACUGCAUCCAAAACUGGCGAGCUAGAGUACGGUAGAGGGUGGUGGAAUUUACUGUGUAGCGGUGAAAUGCGUAGAUAUAGGAAGGAAAACAAGUGGCGAAGGCGACCACCUGGACUGAUACUGAAACUGAGGUGAGAAAGCGUGGGGAGCAAACAGG